CCCUCAGUGGGGGAGUGUAUCCUCUUGAUUGAUGGGUUGAUCCUCCCACCUGCCUGGAGACACAGGGCCAAUAGAAAUUGAGCACACAGGGCCCCAUGGGAGGAUCCACCCCCUUGGACUCCAGUCUUCACCCUGGCUCAUUCAGAGGAAGAGCUAUCUUACCACAAUCUCCUGUGUGAAGGUACCAAGUCUGAGGGGAUGAAGAAGGUUUCUAAAUGUACAAAAGGAAACAAACUACAAACAAACACAGAUAGAACUCAUCUCAGAAACAAUUAAAUAGAACACUUCAAUGUUUUGGACUGCUGCUUUGCUUUGUAUUUCCUGCACAUUUAGAAUAUUUGUAAACGUAAUUGUAAAAUAAAGAUCCUUUUCAACUUUUUAGGUUUUAUACAUGCAUGUUUUUUGAUAUUAAUACUUUUUUAAAAAGGUAACCAAAGUUCCAAAAAGCAACAUUUAUAACUGGGAUGUGCAGAUGCUUUUAUGUUUAUAGUUAUUUUCUUGUUAGGAAUUAAAUUGAUUUUUUUCUUAGUUCAGUAGGGGUUAUUUUUGUUUUGUUACCUUGAAAAUUGUUUUUUUUUUUAAAUUAUUGGAUAAGGCCAAGUUGUAUUCAGUUUAAUUAAAUAUUAUAUUGUACAUAUUUUCUGGAAUUUGUUGUACAAUUUGAAUAGAUUCAUGAUCUUUAGUUUCAUUUGUUUUCAUUUUUGAGUUUGAUGUUUAAGUUUUGUAUUAUGGUCAGUAGACUGAAAUAAAUUUGGGGGUGGGGAACCUGAUUUAA